AUUGAACGCUGGCGGCAGGCUUAACACAUGCAAGUCGAGCGGGGUGAUGGUGCUUGCACUAUCACUUAGCGGCGGACGGGUGAGUAAUGCUUAGGAAUCUGCCUGUUAGUGGGGGACAACAUCUCGAAAGGGAUGCUAAUACCGCAUACGUCCUACGGGAGAAAGCAGGGGAUCACUUGUGACCUUGCGCUAAUAGAUGAGCCUAAGUCGGAUUAGCUAGUUGGUGGGGUAAAGGCCUACCAAGGCGACGAUCUGUACCGGGUCUGAGAGGAUGAGCCGCCACACUGGGACUGAGACACGGCCCAGACUCCUACGGGAGGCAGCAGUGGGGAAUAUUGGACAAUGGGGGGAACCCUGAUCCAGCCAUGCCGCUUGUGUGAAGAAGGCCUUAUGGUUGUAAAGCACUUUAAGCGAGGAGGGGGCUCUUUUGGUUAAUACCCAAGAUGAGUGGACGUUACUCGCAGAAUAAUCACCGGCUAACUCUGUGCCAGCCGCCGCCGUAA
rnacentral:rRNA from 1 species